AGUCUCGAACAGCUUCAUGCAUAUGAAUUGAAGCAAAGCAAGAAUAAGUUGAGGUUUGAAAGUGACUCAAAGGAGUAUGCAGAGAAAGAGAAGCAGAUGAGAACUGCAGAUGGUGCCAAGGGUGCCAAAUUUGUUAAAGCCAAACUGCAUGCUUUGCAGAAGAAGAGACUGAGUUCUGUUGCCGAGGAAGGUGGUACUCCUUGGCGGAGUCCUCAUGUUGCUUGCAUGAACAAGAAUCUUGGUAAGAGAACUGCCGAAGCUGGUGAAGAGGAUCCUCAGCGGAAGCGACCACAUGUCAGUGAAGGUCCCAACUCUGACGAUGACGACUUUGUGCUUGCUGAUUUUGUGAGGGAUGUUCAGACUAGUAGACGGAAUGACUGGUCCAUCUAA
rnacentral:rRNA from 1 species